AAAUUUUCUUUCUUAUUUUCAUGUUUGAUGUUAUAUACUGAUCAUGAAAUUCACAAACAGACUAGCGCGUAUGUAAGUUUAAAGAAGAGUAAUCCUUGUAUAUAGGUUUUAUAUUGGUAUUCACAACUAAGUUUAAACUUUUUUUUCAGAACAUACACACAAUGGAAUAAACGUAGACUAAUCAAUUACAUACAGUCUGGAAAUGGAUCAGAACUUUUAACUUAGAAGCUAUCGUCGCUUCCUUCUACUAAUACAUGGCAACAUUUUCUACAUGACAAGUGAUUUCUUUACCACAUGGUUUCGCAUAGUUGAGAAAAUAAAGAAAGCUGUUAAGAUUUAUUCAAGGUUUCCAAUCUAAUAUAAGCUCACCUGACCACGAAAUUGUCAAGGUGAGGUAUAGUGAUGGGGCAAUCGUGCAUCGUGCGUCGUCAACAAUUGGGUUGUUAACAAUCUAGCAGUCACAGUUGUGAUUGGAUCAUCAUCAAACUUUGUCAGAAUAUUUGUCUCACAUACAGAUCGAGUUGGAAGAUGGGUUUUCUCGGGUCAUAAACUAGGUCACAGGAGCUAUAAAUAGAAAAAGCUUGUUAACACUAGUGGCUGCAGUUUUGAUCCAAGUAUUCUGGAAAUCAGUCAGGUAGGCUGUUUUGAUAAUUUCUAGGUCAAAUUUAAAUAUGGGUCAUCUCCGGUCAAAAACUAGGUCACAGGAGCU